GUGAAAUAAACAGCCUUGUUGCUCACACAAAGCGUGUUGCUGGACUCUCUUCACAUGGACGUGCGUGACAUUUGGUGCCGAAACCUGGGACAGGAGGACUCCUUCGGGAGACCAGUCCCCUGUCCUCACCCUCUGUGAGGAGAUCCACCUAUGACCUCAGGUCCUCAGACCAACUAACCCAAGGAACAUCUCACCAAAUUCAAAUCGGAUCUUCUCGGCUUAGCGGCUGAAGACUGACGCUGUCCGAUCGCCUCAAAAACCUCCUGGACCAUCCCGGAUGCUUUGGGUAACUCUUACAGUGGAGGACAGGAAUGUCAGGCCUCUGAGCCCAACUAAGCCAUCAUAUCCCCUGUGACCUGCACGUAUACAUCCAUAUGGCCUGAAGCAACUGAAGAUCCACAAAAGAAGUGAAAAUAGCCAAUUCCUGCCUUAACUGAUGACAUUCCACCAUUCCUGCCCCACCCUAACUGAUCAAUUGACUUUGUGACAAUACACCCUCCCCGCCCUUGUGAUAAUGUACUUUGUGAUAUUCCCCCACCCUUGUGAAUGUACUUUGUACAAUACACCCUCCCCACCCUUGAGAAGGUACUUUGUAAUAUGCUCCCCCACCCUUAAGAAGGUACUUUGUAAUGUUCUCCCCACCCUUUGUACUUUGUAAGAUCCACCCCCUGCCUGCAAAAAAUUGCUCCUAACUCCACUGCCUAUCCCAAACCUAUAAGAACUAAUGAUAAUCCCACCACCCUUUGCUGACUGCCUUUUGGACUCAGCUUGCCUACACCCAGGUGAAAUAAACAGCCUUGUUGCUCACACAAAG
rnacentral:lncRNA from 10 species